GACGAACGCUGGCGGCGUGCUUAACACAUGCAAGUCGAACGGUAAGGCCCCUUCGGGGGUACACGAGUGGCGAACGGGUGAGUAACACGUGGGUGAUCUGACCCGCACUUCGGGAUAAGCCUGGGUAACUGGGUCUAAUACCGGUUAGGACCACGCUCUGCAUGGGGAGUGGUGGAAAGCUUUUGCGGGGUGAGAUGGGCCCGCGGCCUAUCAGCUUGUUGGAGGGGUGAGGGCCUACCAAGUCGACGUCCGGUAGCCGGCAUGAGAGGGUGUCCGGCCACCAGGGGACUAAGGGACGGAGCAGACUCCUACGGGAGGCAGCAGUGGGGAGUAUUGCACAAUGGGCGCACGCCUGAGGCAGAGGCGCCGCGUGGGGGAUACUCGCCUACGGGGUGUAAACCUCUUUGAGUGCAGACAAAGCGGAAGUGACGGUAGGUACAGAAGAAGCACCGGCCAACUACGUG
rnacentral:rRNA from 1 species